rnacentral:rRNA from 1 species
UACGUAGGGUGCAAGCGUUAAUCGGAAUUACUGGGCGUAAAGCGUACGCAGGCGGCUAUGUAAGACAGGUGUGAAAUCCCCGGGCUUAACCUGGGAACUGCAUUUGGUGACUGCAUAGCUAGAGUCUGUCAGAGGGGGGUGGAAUUCCACGUGUAGCAGUGAAAUGCGUAGAGAUGUGGAGGAACACCGGAUGGCGGAAGGCAGCCCCCUGGGAUAAGACUGACGCUCGAUGUACGAAAGCGUGGGGAGCAAACAGG